rnacentral:lncRNA from 1 species
CAUGCCAAAAUCUCAGCAAAAAUCAAGCUCAAAACAACUCCAAACCAAGACACAGAUAAUCGCAAGAAGAUCCACGGGCCCAAACAAGCUAUGCUUCCUCCAUUCUUAUGGCAAUUAAACCAAACAAGGCUUUCUUUUGUCACUCAACGCAUGGUCCCUGAUACAAAAGCAGGGAAAAACCUGACACAGGGCAAUAUGGCCACACUGUCCAACUAGCCAAAUACAACUUAAAAAGUAGGCAGAUCAAAAAGAUAUUGGUUAUAACAAAAUCUGAUACCAAAUAGGAAUACUCCCAACCACACUCCCAGCCAAGAACCUCUCUGCAAAUCCAAGCAAAGAUCAAGUUAAUGGAUAAAGCAAACGCUCAGAGUCCACAGACAGGACAUUAUAUAAAACCAUUGGAACAUGCUGCAGAACACUCAUCUCCAGACUCCAAAAGUGCAGCAAACAUAUAAACGCAACUCCUAGACCUGCCCUCCGUGAUGAAAUGGAGAACAAUAUUAAAAAAUAUUAUAAAGCAAGAGUUACAAUUGAUGCGAGAAAAACAAACAAAAAUGAACUACUGUAGCAAAUAAUCCUCAACCCUUAACAAACAUCGGCAUAUAAAUUGCAUAACGUUUCCUGACUCUGACUUAAUUGGUUACACUAGAAAAAUAGAAAAUGUGUUAUCAGAACUAAAUUUCAAAAACCAACCUUCACAACUCUAGCGACCAAUAAAAUCUUAAGACAGAAUAGAGAACAUAUAUACAUAUAUAAUCAGUAAUCCUGAAUUCCCUCUAUUCAAAAAAUGCGGAACAUCGCUUGAGAACCGAACUUCAAAGUCCAAACUCCAGACUCCAGAUUCAACCUUCCUGUGGAUUCAACUUUCAAGGCUUGCUCCUAUUCCAGAGGGAGGUGGUGACGUGAAGCAGUAGGAGAGACACUUCUUAUGGCAGCAUAAUACUAUAACCUCACCAUGCGUGAUGAAAAGAAACUCAAAUCUGAAGAAAACAUAUCAACUAUUAGAGUAAUUAGCCUGUUAUUAAUUCAGUUUAAUAUAAAGCUGUGUGUGUUGUAUCUUUCGGUUCUGUUAGUAUUGAUAGUUGUUGUUAGUGGCAGUUACAACUGUCAAAGUAACUGCCUCAUCAACUUAGCUCUUCUUUAAAUAGUAGCUAAAUCUCUUUCUUUCAUUGUAAUCAGAAAUACAGAAACAAUUCUAAUAAGAAAUUCAAUUCUCUCUUCUUUCUUUUCUUUCAUUUUCCAUUCUUUACAUCAACCAACAUCAGAGUAACAAUAUAAGCUUUUACAAGAACUCUCCAAACCAAGCUCUGGAUCAUCAAAAAUAGGGGGCCACAACCAAGCUAUUACUCCCCCAUUGAUAUGGAAAAGUAAGUCAAACGUGAUUCUUGUGCCCUGACUCAUGAUUCCUAAACAAAAAUGUUCUUAGAUUUGUUCUAAAUCCUGAAUUUCCACCACAAUUCCUUCAUGAAUCAGAUCGUCAUGAACAUCAUGUUAAUCCUGCGUUCUUGAGCUGGGAGGAACAAGACCAGAAUGUGUUUUCGUGGCUCUUGAAUUCUAUCUCAGAUUCAAUAAGACCUCGUGUGGUAGGAUGCACCACUUCUUUUCAACUCUGGCAGGAAUUGCACUCUUUUUGUAAUGCUCACACUAAAGCAAGAAGUCGCCAACUUAGGGCACAACUUCGUAGUGUUUCACAAGGUUCCAAUUGCAUCUCUGAUUAUUUUUCAAAAAUCAAGAUGUUAACUGAUUCCUUUGCUUCAAUUGGAACGCCAAUUACCUUGGAGGAACAUGUUGAUUUUGUUCUAGACGGUCUCAAUGAAGAAUUUCAUCCACUCAUUACUACUAUUGAAGGACAGACGCAUCCUCCUUCUGUCAAUGAGUUAGAGCAAUUUCUUCUCACUUUUGAAUCAAGGUUAGUGAAAAAUAAACACAAAACUGUGUCUGAUGCGUUUUCUGCUAAUAUUGCUACCACUGAAUCUUCUCCUACUCAAUCCCCUGCUUCUGUCACCAACACUCCUCUUCUUCCUCAUCCACCUUAUCGUGCUCGUUUUCCUUCAAUGCCUCUAUUUCGUGGUUCAUCUAAUCAAACUUAUGGUGGAUCUCGUGGAGGGGGACGCUUUGGCAGACGAGGUCGUGGUAAUAGGUCAUCUGGCAGAACUUCAGUAUACUUCUGUGAGUAUUGCAAUAGACAUGGUCAUGAUGUGACCUGGUGUUAUUUUGCUCCAUAUGAUACCUCCUACACAAUGCCUUCUGCUUAUGAUCACAACUACAAUACUCAACAAUUUUCAGACUCUUAUGCUUCAUUUGGUCAUCCUCCAGUGCUACAGAAUCCUGCUUAUGGAGUGCCUCAUCAUUAUACAAGGCCAAGAACAUCUCUCUAUUCCUAUAAUCAACCAAGACCUUCAUACAAUUCACAUUCCUCAAGUCACUAUUUGACAAAUCCUAAAGGCACUGUUAGACUUGAUACUCAUCAGCCACCUUAUGCAAUGAAUGUGACCAACACUGUUCAAGAUUUCAACAAAACAUCUAUGUGGUAUCCAGAUUCAGGUGCUACAAAUCAUCUAACUGCUGAUUCAUCCUUGUUAGCUGAUCCUACAGAGCAGUUUGCCUCUGAUCACAUCUAUAUGGGUAAUGGUCAUAAAGCUCCUAUUCACCAACACUCCUCUUCUUCCACAUCCCCCUUAUCGUGCUCGUUUUCCUUCAAUGCCUCUAUUUCGUGGUUCAUCUAAUCAAACUUAUGGUGGAUCUCGUGGAGGGGGACGCUUUGGCAGACGAGGUCGUGGUAAUAGGUCAUCUGGCAGAACUUCAGUAUACUUCUGUGAGUAUUGCAAUAGACAUGGUCAUGAUGUGACCUGGUGUUAUUUUGCUCCAUAUGAUACCUCCUACACAAUGCCCUCUGCUUAUGACCACAACUACAAUGCUCACUUUAAGUCCCCUUUUGACUCUAAUAUAUCUAUGUCAUUGUAUAAUCUGCUUCUUGUUCCAUCAUUAUACAAGGCCAAGAACAUCUCUCUAUUCCUAUAAUCAACCAAGACCUUCAUACAAUUCACAUUCCUCAAGUCACUAUUUGACAAAUCCUAAAGGCACUGUUAGACUUGAUACUCAUCAGCCACCUUAUGCAAUGAAUGUGACCAACACUGUUCAAGAUUUCAACAAAACAUCUAUGUGGUAUCCAGAUUCAGGUGCUACAAAUCAUCUAACUGCUGAUUCAUCCUUGUUAGCUGAUCCUACAGAGCAGUUUGCCUCUGAUCACAUCUAUAUGGGUAAUGGUCAUAAAGCUCCUAUUACUUGCAGUGGCAAUGCUCACUUUAAGUCUCCUUUUGACUCUAAUAUAUCUAUGUCAUUGUAUAAUCUGCUUCUUGUUCCCACUAUUACAAAAAAUCUUCUUAGUGUGUCUCAAUUUGCCAAGGACAAUCAUUGCUUUUUUGAAUUCCAUCCUAACCAUUGUCUUGUUAAAUCACAGGCUACUAAACAGGUUCUCCUUAAAGGCUCUCUCACUGCAAAGGGACUCUAUGCCUUCUCAAGUCUUGUUAAACCUUCUUCAAUUCACUGUAAUUUCAGUUCUGCAUCCCCUUUAUGUGCAAAUAAUUCUAGCUUACCUAGUUCUAAGUCUGUCUCCUUACAAACUCUGGCAUUAUAGACUAGGACAUGCCCAUGAGGCUGCUGUAAAGAAUGUAUUGCAACAAUGUAACAUUUUACAUUCUAAUAAAACAUCUCUUGAUUUCUGUGUUGCUUGUUGUUGUGCUAAGGCUCAUAAAUUACACUCUCCAAACUCUACUACUGUGUAUGCCAAGCCUUUUGAUCUUUUAUACUUGGAUUUAUGGGGUCCUGCUCCUGUCCACUCAGAAACAGGGUUUAGAUAUUACCUAUCCAUAGUUGAUGCUCACACCAGGCACACUUGGAUUUAUCUACUAAAGAAAAAGUUAGACACCCUUCUCAUCUUUCAACACUUUCAUAAGUAUGUUCAUACUCAGUUUCAGUCUCAAAUUAAAGUCAUCCAAAGUGAUUGGGGGGGUGAGUUUAGACCAUUUAGUCAAUAUCUAACCUCACUAGGAAUUAUUCACAGAGUUUCAUGCCCUCAUAGUCAUCAUCAACAAGGGACUGUUGAGAGAAAACAUAGGCAUAUAGUGGAAACUGGUUUAGCCUUGCUCACUCAUGCUUCAUUACCUAUGUCAUAUUGGGAAUAUGCCUUUACCACAACAGUUUUUCUCAUCAACAGAUUACCUUCCCCAUCCCUAAACCAAUCUUCACCUCACUAUCUUCUGUUUGGUGUGCAACCUGACUAUUCUUACCUUAAAGUGUUUGGGUGUGCUUGCUUUCCUUUGUUAAGACCUUACAACAACAACAAGCUACAGAUAAGAUCAUCUGAAUGUAUUUUUCUGGGCUACUCUACCCAUCACAAAGGAUACAAAUGUCUUUCUCAUGAUGGCAAAUUAUACAUUUCUAAAGAUGUUGUGUUCAAUGAGUUUGUUUUUCCUAAAGAGUCUAAAGAGUCUGUCAUGUCUCAUUCAGAGUCUAUGUCUUCUCCUAUACCUCAUCCUCCUCAAAUAACCCACUUUUAUCCCCACUCUGCUCCUGGUACAACAGAUUCAGGUGCUACCUUUUCUAUUCCCACAUCCUCUUCUAAUCCUACUCCUCAUCAACAACAACAAACACAAACUGAGUCCUCUGCUUCUUUAUGUCCCUCUUCUUCAUCAACACCUCCCUCUUCACCUAAUAAUCAGCCAAUAACAAUACACCAUGAGUCCUCAACAACACAUCCUGAGUCACCAACAACCACAAACACUGAGUCUACUUCACUUCUUCCUCUUCCUCUUGUAUCUCAGUCUAUUCAUCCUAUGCAAACCCGUUCUAAGUCUGGAAUUGACAAGUCUUUUGUUCCUAGAGUUCCUAGGGCCUUGCUUGUUCAAAGUGAGCCAACUUCUGUUAAAACUGCUCUUAGUGAUCCUCUGUGGGUUCAAGCUAUGCAAGAAGAAUACAAUGCUCUAAUAAAGUUAGGCACUUGGUCUAUUGUUGAUUUGCCUAGAGACAAACAAGCUAUUGGUUGUAAAUGGGUGUUUAGGAUUAAGGAAAAUCCUGAUGGGACAGUAAAUAGGUAUAAAGCAAGGCUUGUGGCUAAAGGUUUUCAUCAAAAACAGGGCAUUGACUACACAGAGACCUUUUCUCCUGUUGUAAAACCUAUUACUAUCAGAAUCCUUCUCACACUAGCAGUUACUUUUCAUUGGCCUAUUGAACAACUGGAUAUUAAUAAUGCUUUUCUAAAUGGCAUUCUGCGUGAGGAAGUCUAUAUGAUUCAACCUGCUAGCUUCCAUAAUGGUAAUAAGGCUCAAGUGUGCAAGCUUCACAAGGCUUUGUAUGGCUUAAAACAGGCCCCAAGACAGUGGUUUGAGAAGCUCAAAAGUACUCUGGUUCAGUUUGGUUUCUUGAACAGUAGGUGUGACAAUUCCUUAUUCAUUCAUACCUCAACUACAUACAGGCUCUAUGUACUUGUGUAUGUAGAUGAUAUUAUUAUCACAAGAUCUUCUGCUUCCCAGGUUAAUCAACUCAUUGUAAAACUAAGCAAUGCCUUUGUAUGCCUUUGCUUUAAAGAGACUAGGCUCACUGGAAUAUUUUCUUGGCAUAGAAGUUAAACCUAUGACUAAUGGUUCACUGUUUCUCUCUCAAACAAAGUAUGUCAAGGAUCUUCUUAAAAAGGCUAAUAUGGAUUCUGCCAAGUCUCUACCUACUCCUAUGUCUUCUUCUUGCAAAUUGACAAAGACAGGUUCUUCACCUUUUGACAAUCCCACACUUUACAGAUCCAUAGUGGGAGCACUUCAGUAUGCCACAAUUACAAGACCAGAUCUUGCAUUCAGUGUCAAUAAAGUGUGUCAAUAUAUGUCAAAUCCUUUGGAGCAUCACUGGACUGCUGUUAAAAGAAUUCUCAGGUACUUACAAGGUUCUCUCACCCUUGGCAUACAACUCAGACCAGCUAGUCCUCACUGUUCUCUAUCCAUCACAGCAUUUUGUGAUGCUGAUUGGGCAUCAGAUCCAGAUGAUAGAAAAUCAGUCUCAGGUGCUUGCCUAUUUGUUGGACCUAACAUUGUUACUUGGUGGUCAAAAAAGCAACAAACUGUCUCUAGGUCAAGUACUGAGGCUGAAUAUAGAAGCCUAGCUCUAGCCUCUCAAAAGCUCAUUUGGAUUGAGUCUCUCCUCUCAGAGCUGAAGUUUGCUCAUCAAUGUCCCCUUGUUCUCUGUGAUAAUCUCAGUAUUGUUGCCAUGGCACACAAUCCUAUUCUUCAUCACAGGACAAAACACAUUGAGUUGGAUCUAUUCUUUGUAAGAGAUAGAGUCCAAUCCAAUCUGUUGCAAAUAAAGCACAUACCAUCUGAAGAUCAGACAGCAGAUGCUCUAACUAAACCUCUUUCUAAUUCAAGGUUUCUGGCUCUAAGGAAACUGCUUCAAGUGGUUGAUAGAUUUUCAACACACCCACAGCUUCAGGGGGGAAUAUUAGAGUAAUUAGUCUGUUAUUAAUUCAGUUUAAGCUUCUUGUAUAAAGCUGUGUGUGUUGUAUCUUUCGGUUCUGUUAGUAUUGUUAGUUGUUGUCAGUGGCAGUUACAACUGUCAAAGUAACUGCCUCAUCAACUUAGCUCUUCUUUAAAUAGUAGCUAAAUCUCUUUCUUUCAUUGUAAUCAGAAAUACAGAAACAAUUCUAAUAAGAAAUUCAAUUCUCUCUUCUUUCUUUUCUUUCAUUUUCCAUUCUUUACAUCAACCAACAUCAGAGUAACAAUAUAAGCUUUUACAAGAACUCUCCAAACCAAGCUCUGGAUCAUCAAAAAUAGGGGGCCACAACCAAGCUAUUACUCCCCCAUUGAUAUGGAAAAGUAAGUCAAACGUGAUUCUUGUGCCCUGACUCAUGAUUCCUAAACAAAAAAUAGUACAAGUCCAAAAUAGACAAAUCCAGAAGUUCAUAAUUAAGGAUGUAAGAUAACAAACACCAUACUUGAUAUGUCCCACCACAACUCCCACAUACAAGUUAUCUCUGUGUAACGAAAGCACAAGAAUUCAAAAUCCAGGAAGGUUUACCAAAUUCAUAGUUCGCGUAGCAAAAGAAACAUUCUAAAGCUCCUCGGAAAACUUGAAGCUAGAAAACUUCGCAUUCCAAACCAAGUCGCAGAUCAUGCACAACCAAGCUAUCCCAUGUUCCACCUUGAAAAGUUGAAGCAACAAAGACAACCAAAUCAAAAAGGAAAAACACAGAUACCCUAAAGCUAACAGGGCUACAAUUAUCUCCUAAGGAAAAAGGUUCUUUUAAAGGCUACAACAAAACCUAAGGCUUUUGAAGGAUCUUCUAACCAAGGUCCACAACCUACAGUUAUCUUCCCUGUAACACCCAAGCGCAAAACAUAAAUAUGUUGGUAAAUAUUAAACGCUUGACCUAUUCAAACAAGACAAAUCAAAACUUCUCUCAAAGUAGGGCUCACCAAAUUAUGGACGACGCACAAUGCUACAGCACCUUCACAUGAAACACUACGCACAAGAUAACAUUUAAGGGAAAGAUCAUUACACAAUACUACAGGAAACAAAUUUAAAAUUUAUCUUGUUCAUUAAAAAAAGAAGCAACAACUUAUCAAUGAAUUAUUCAGAGAGCAUUUUUUAAGCUUAGAUCUUCAAUUGGAAACAACUAAGGACAGGAAAUUCAUUACAGGCUACUCUAGACUUCUUUGAUCACAUUAAUUCAAGCAGUACAAAUCCAGAACACUCUUUCAGAUUCAGCCCUCGAGGGUUACACCAGCAGGUAGAAUUUCCAGGCCCAAAAAUACGGCACAUGAAUAACGCAAUAAGUUCAACACCUAGAUUGUCAUGAUCAAUGGCAGAACAAUAUUCAAAGAAUUGAACAAAGAAUCAGAAACUUUUAUCAACUUAUUGAUUAUUGAUGCAAUAAUCAGCAAGUGUAGCUCACAGGAUUCGAACAUUUGACAUUUGUCCUAGUACGAUAUCUGGGGAUCCAAUGGGUCCUUAGACCACUACACAAAUGCCUCAUCGACAACCGCUAUAGAAUUAAAAUUCAAGAAAACCAAGCUUUUUAUGUUAAAAAACAUAUUCACAGAAUACUAUAAAAAUAUUUUCAAGUGCAGAACUAUUAAAAAAAUCAAACCUGGACGUACGGGAACAAUAUCAUCAUAAAUAGUUGACUGCAAACUCCUAAAAAUUACCGAUGUAACACCCUUAGAAGUAUUAUAUGACAAAUCAUGCAUAAGGUGUUGGUUCACAUAUUGUUCAAUUAAAGAUUCAAUUUGCCUAAAGGUUUAGGUGCUCAAUACACGAAGUUGUGACACUACAAGCCUGUGACAAAGAAGAUUAUGACAUGGAGAGGAAAAACUUAUAGAUAAGAAAACAUCAAUAUAGCAUAGAAGAAUUCUCCAAACCAAAUACGCAUAUCAUCACAACCAUCACACAGUCCCAAAGCAUCAAAGGUACUACAUAGACUCCUCAUAAGAGAGAAACUACUGCAUCCCAAAACUCGUAUGCAUCCUGAUACAUAAACACAGUAAUGAGCAUAUCCACAGAUAUCCAAAUCCAGAAGAAGCACAUACGAGGGGGACAAACAAGAAUAAAGUUUUUUAAUGGUAACAUAACCUAAGAAGCAACAGAAUUCCAUCGAUACCCCCAAUCACUGCUUCCACAGUACAGAACAUUAUCAUUUCCAAGUAAAGCAAGCUAAAUGCAUGGGAAACGCACGGAAUCUGAAAGAACUUAUAAACGAAAGACAAAUCCAAGAGUUCAAAAUCCAGAUACAGGUCACCAAGUUCAGAAUGUGACUGAAAAUGCAUACACUAAAUGUGAAAUGACCUUCAAAAUUCAACUCCGCGUCAUAAAAAGGAGAUACGGAAUUUAAGAAACUAAAUGAUUAAAUAAUGAAUCAAACCCCUUAGCUUAAAAGAUUGACAAAAAUUGGUUAGGAUCCAACUUCAACCUCCACAAAAUAAGGAGUCUCGACUUGAUUGUAAAUCUGAGGCAUAUGUAGUCACCUGAAGCAGGAUGAUGGACCCCAACUUCCGACAAACUGUGGAAGACCAUAUCAGUUUUAGCUAAAAAUAUUAGAACUUUCAAAAAACCAACACACAGAUACUCCAAAAAAGAACCAAAAGCCCAAGCAAGGUCUCAUUCCUCCCUUGAUAUCGCUUUAACAUGACCAUAUUCCAUAUAAAUGGACAAUUAGAUCAAAGUAAC